GUGCUUAAGAUAGAUUUGGCUAAAGCUUUUGAGAGAAUUAAGUGGUGCUUUAUCGAGAGCUUUCUACAUAAAGGGCUACAUAGUCAUUUUGCAAAUUUAAUUAUGGAUUGUAUUUCUUCUGCGACCUUUUAUGUUCACAUUAAUGGACAACCAUUUGGCAGCUUUAGGUGAUCUCGAGGUAUCCGACAAAGUUGUCCUCUAUCUCCGUAUAUUUUUAUUCUAGUGGUUAAUGAGUUAUUAUUUUCAAUACAAGAGGCUUUAAAUGCUAAUACUUUGAGCAAUAUUUAGUUAGGUCCUGAUUGCAAUCUUAUCCACUCUUUAAUAUUUGCUGAUGAUCUUAUUGUUUGUGGUAGGGCUGAUAAUGAUGACACUAAUGUGAUAGCUUCUAUUAUUAAUGAAUUUUGUGCAGUUUAUAGACAAACUACUAAUUGGAAUAAAUCUACUAUCCUUAUUAGUAAGCACACAGAUGAUAAUCUGGAAAAUCUGAUUAAGAAUAUUUUCCUGCUCCUAAUAUGGAUCCCGGCACAACUCAUCUUGGUCAUCCUUUUAUCUUUCCUGGAAGAAAUAGUCCUGCAGCCUACAAUAUCAUUGUUGAUAAAUAUAAACCUAACUUAA
rnacentral:rRNA from 1 species